rnacentral:rRNA from 1 species
CAAAUGAGAACUUUGAAGACCGAAGUGGAGAAGGGUUCCAUGAGAACAGCAAUGGUCAUGGGUUAUUCGAUCCUAAGGCAUGGGGAAGUUCCUUGUAAUACAAGAGCACUCUCGCUACGUUGCCAAAAGGGAAUGAGGUUAAUAUUCCUCAAACUGGACGUGGAUAUUGUAUGGUAACAUAAGUGAGCCUGGAGACGUCGGCAUGAACCCCUGGAAGAGUUAUCUUUUCUUUUUAACAAACUACCACCCUGAAAUUGGAUUAUCCAGAGCUAGGGUUAUAUGUUUGGCAGAGCAUCACACUCUAAGUGAUGUCAGGUGCGUUCAUGACGACCCUUGAAAAUCCAGGUGAGAGGAUUAUUCGCACGCCAGAUCGUACCAAUAACCGCAUCUGGUCUCCAAGGUUAGCAGCCUCUGGUCGAUAGAAUAAUGCAGAUAAGGGAAGUCGGCAAAUUAGAUCCGUAACUUCGGGAAAAGGAUUGGCUCUGAGGAUUGGGUUCGGGGGC